UUAUAGAAACUGGAAGAGGAGGAGGGAGGAGAGGGAUAUUGGAUUCUAGUCAGAAAAGUUUUUGCUAUUCCUCACUUUCCAUGAAGUAACAUCUCUCUCUCUCUCUCUCUCUCUCUCUCUCUCUCUCU